CUCAGCCGAUCGCACAGUCUUUGUACUGGCGACGUAUCUUUCAAGUGUCUGCCCUAUCAACUUUCGAUGGUAGUUUAUGUGCCUACCAUGGUUGUAACGGGUAACGGAGAAUAAGGGUUCGACUCCGGAGAGGGAGCCUGAGAAACGGCUACCACAUCCAAGGAAGGCAGCAGGCGCGCAAAUUACCCACUCUCAGCACGAGGAGGUAGUGACGAAAAAUAACGAGACGGUUCUCUUUGAGGUCCGUCAUCGGAAUGGGUACAAUUUAAAUCCUUUAACGAGGAUCUAUUGGAGGGCAAGUCUGGUGCCAGCAGCCGCGGUAAUUCCAGCUCCAAUAGCGUAUAUUAAAGUUGUUGCGGUUAAAAAGCUCGUAGUUGGAUCUGCGGUCUCGGAACCGGUGCCCUAUCUAGGUGUUACUGGUUCUCCAGGCCUACCUCUCUGGUUUUCUGUCGGUCCUCUUUAUUGAGUGCCGCAGUGACCAGAACGUUUACUUUGAAAAAAUUAGAGUGCUCAAAGCAGGCGUGUAGCCUGAAUAGUGGUGCAUGGAAUAAUGGAAUAGGACCUCGGUUCUAUUUUGUUGGUUUUUGGAGCAGAGGUAAUGAUUAAGAGGGACAGACGGGGGCAUUCGUAUUGCUGCGUUAGAGGUGAAAUUCUUGGAUCGUAGCAAGACGACAACUGCG
rnacentral:rRNA from 1 species